rnacentral:rRNA from 1 species
GACGUAGGGGACGAGCGUUGUCCGGAUUUAUUGGGCGUAAAGCGCGCGCAGGCGGUUACGCAAGUCGGGAGUGAAAAUCCGGGGCUCAACCCCGGACCUGCACCCGAUACUGCGUGACUAGAGGUAGGUAGGGGAGAUCGGAAUUCCUGGUGUAGCGGUGAAAUGCGCAGAUAUCAGGAGGAACACCAAUGGCGAAGGCAGCACUCUGGGACGUGACUGACGCUGAGACGCGAAAGCGUGGGGAGCAAACAGG